rnacentral:lncRNA from 1 species
AUUUUUCUCUACCCCAAGCAUCAAGAGAGCGACCAACCAGCUCAAUUUUCGAGAGAACCGAUAAAUCAUGGUUCUCCCACCCUGCAAUAACAAUUUCCGCACAUUCGUCGCCGCUUUCAAGCCAAACCUCCUCAAAUCUAAACAUCCUCAAAAAAUUAGUCUCACAACUAUCGACUGUUAAAAUAUAUUGAUUCCUAACUUCAUGUAGUUUUUAUUAUAAGUGCGUCUUUAACUAAUGUUCUAAAUUUUUCUAUGUAUUAAACUUAACUUAUUAUGUGGUUGGCUCAUGUUGUACAUCCGCUGCGGCGAAGGUUGACUAUAAAUUUUGGAAGGGUUGUGUUGAUUAAAAAAAUAUAAAUUUAAUGUGACAUUAUAUAAAUCUUAAAUUAUAAUUUUAGCAUCUACUUAAAUAUAUGUAGUGCUGUAAAAUUUAAACCGAUGAUCAACUCGAUUAGAGUUUUGAGUUAAUGGGUCUAGUUGAACCGGUUGACAUGCUUGCGUAUUUGUUUUAAAAAAAAACAAAGCACAUUUAAAAUAAAAUAAAAAUACAAAGUACUUGAUUAGAACUUCGAUCUGGUAGUUCUUCGUCUUCAACCACAACGAUUUAUGGGUUGCAUUCCAUGGGUUUGUGUGUGGUGGGCACGAUCGGGAAGAAGAAGGAUUAGGUGUUAGAGAAUAGAUGGGCUUAACUUUUGGAAAUGGGUUUGAUUUUCUAAAUUUUUCCUUUGGGGGUUUUGUUUUUCUGAAAGGUUGAUGGAUGUUUUGGAGAGAAUAACGAGGAUGGAUCUAGAGAUUGGGAGGAGAAAAAUGAAUUUGCAACGUUGUGAUGUUG